rnacentral:sRNA from 1 species
ACAGAAAAUAGCACUGAAUUUCAAAACAAAACGUCAUCGUCGUCGUCAUAAUAAUAAAAUAAAACAGCAAAAGAUGAUGAUGAAGUGGAAGAAGCAUAAAACACGAAAGCCAACAGCAAGUGACAAUACAAACAAUCUCAUAAUGAGCACACACACAGUCUCCUCCUCCCCCCAUCCCAUCCCAUGGCAAACUGCUGCUGCGUUCAUGCUUCAAAACUAGAACGUGUUGAAAUUUUCGUCUACGGAAAACGAUGUCAUCGUCAUUGCAAUUGUGUGACAUGGAAGGAAACGUGUUGUGAAUUUGGAAUAAAAACUGAUGAGAAGCAAGGAUAUCAGCACGAAAUAGACGUAGAAGAAGAAGGAAACGAAAGAAACUUGGUUGACAGGUAUUACCAGAUCUCGACCAAAAAUUGGGGAUUUUUUUCUUCAAAAAGGUAAGAAAAGCAAUGGAUAUAAAAGAGGAUCAGAUGAACACAGAACAUAGUCCCACAUGUAAAUAUAAUGAAGAAGUGUUGGAGUUGAAGCAAAUCUACUGGAGAAUCUACACACGUUUCCCAAAAAAAUAUAAUCCCACAGCCAUAUAUGAUAAUCAUUUAACCCCAACACAAUGGUAUUUCUCUCGAUAUGGCAACAUUGUCCUCGUCAGCAACACUUGUCUUGUCGUGUGUUGUUUGUUUUUAUAGAAUGAUGAUGCCUCAACUGGGCUCCCCUAUCACCUCUCUCUCUCGCUCUCUUCCACAUUGUUGGCUCCCCAAUAGCCUUGCCUGAGAGAAGUUGCGUUGGGCAAUGAAGUUUGUGUAAAAUAAGUGAGAAGGGAAUCCAAGAGACAGGAGAGCCGCUAAAUAUGAAAAUAAAGAAGAAGAAAUACUGAAUUACUGAAAUACUCGUAAAAUGACGUGACGUUUUGUGAUGUGCGUGACGUGGUGUGGUUUCCACCCGUCUUUUGAGGUUGCUCUUUUUCAUUUGUCGGUAGGUAGGUAGUUGUUGCUGUCUUGUGUACAUACUACAGACAUACGAACAUAAGUAUUUACGUUACAAUUUUUUCGUUUUCUCUUUUUAAGUCUUUAAAAGUUUAUUUAUUUGUAAAGAAUAAGGAGAAUAAUAAAACAACAUAAAAUACCUAAAUUAAAUAAAAAAACAAAACUAUGCAGUAUAGAACCUAAGCAAAAAACUCACCCUGUGCAAAAAUAGACGUAGAA